UUGGUUGGUAUCCGGGGUAGCACUCUGUGGCCCCAACCUUCACUUUCCACACACACCUGUGCACCCGGUGGUGGGGGGUUCUUGUAAUAGAGCUCCCUCUGCUGCCUAUCUAUCACAUACCCUGAGUAUUAUGGAUGUCAGUGUAUACUUGCCUUUUUGGCAGAACUAAACACAACUUUCGACAACGGAUCUCUUGGUUCUCCCAUCGAUGAAGAACGCAGCGAAAUGCGAUAAGUAAUGUGAAUUGCAGAAUUCAGUGAAUCAUCGAAUCUUUGAACGCACCUUGCGCUCCUUGGUAUUCCGAGGAGCAUGCCUGUUUGAGUGUCAUGAAUCCCUCAAACCCCUCAGGUUUUGAAACAAAAGCCUGGGCUUGGGUUUGGAUGUGGGUGCCCUGCCAUCUUGUAUGGCUCACCCCAAAUGCAUUAGCUGGACCCUUCCUGUAACCGGUUCCACUCAGCGUGAUAAGUCAUUCGCUGAGGACAGCGAGGCAAGCCCACUUGUGGGUGCGCCCCUGCUGGCCGGACUCGGGUUGCUUGGUCUGCUUACAGCCCCGUCGCAUGACGGAAAACCAUAUUCAAUGCUCUGGCCUCAAAUCAGGUAGGAUUACCCGCUGAACUUAAGCAUAUCAAUAAGCGGAGGAA
rnacentral:rRNA from 1 species